UCUUGAUAUACCUACAUAUUCAAAUAUUUAUUUAAGCUUGUGUGUGUUAACAUAUUUUGCAGAAGAAGGGAGACGUUUCAAUUAGUGAACAAUAUGAACACGGACAGGAACUCAUAACGAAUUUGAUAGAAAUGAGAACAAUAAAAAAAGGAAGAAAUCGCAACUCGUUUUUAAAUGAUCAGAAAUGGAAUCUCAAAGGCUGCGCGCAAAUAAUGAAGCCAUAACUGACUUGAGUGAUCCAAAUCGAUCAACAAAGAUUUCUGAACGGUUUUCGAAACUUUUAGACAGUCAAUGGACGGAUGUGUUUGAGUGACUCACGCACAGGAAAGAAACUUUUGACAGGGAAGCAAUUGGUAUAUUGAUAGACAUGUUUAAGAUGUGUUGCGACGAAUGUAAAGAUGUGGCUUCCUCACAGCGUCUGUGUAUCCUUAUAUACCUUAAGCUGCUACCUUAU